AGCACAAUAAUUGAUUGUGGUGACGGACAGUUCUGGUGGAAACAGGAGAGUUGAGGUGCACAUUGAAUUCUGCGUGAUUUGAUCAGCCGUUGUUUUAUGUUUUUUGGAUACAAUCCGGGUUAGCACCCGAACAUCCCUUUCAGACAGCUUCCUCUUACAGCGUCCACAGUUAAUCCUGUUGGAUGUGGUUGGUCCUUCUUGGUGGUAUGCUGACAUUACCCUGGAUACCGUGGCUCUUGAUGCAUCACAAAGACUUGCUGUCUUGGUCACAGAUGCUCCAGCAAGACGUGCACCAACAAUUUGUCCUCUUUUGAACUCUGGUAUGUCACACAUAAUGUUGUGUGCAUUGCAAUAUUUAGAGCAGAACUGUGCUCUUACCCUGCUAACUGAACCUAACACACUCUGCUCUUACUCGUGCAAUGUGCAAUUAAUAAAGAUUGGCCACCAGGCUGCUCCAAUUUAGCCAUGAAACCUCCCACACUAAAAUGACAGGUGUUUCAGUUUCAUUGUCCAACCCCUGUAGUUAUAUAUCAUCCUUCCAGCAUUGCAAUCUUUCUUACUCCAACUUUCUUCUGGCUGCAUCUAUUUUUUGACGAUGGGUGUAUCUUUGUGUAUUUUUUACAUUCUAUCCUGGUGAUGCCUUUUAUCAGUUUCUCACAAAAACCAGACCAAGAUCAGAACCAUCCUUGAAAACAACAACCAAAACAAUGGACACAAGUAGCGAACGCAAUCAAACAAGGAUUGUAGAGAACUAAAGGUAGUCAGUCAGUUGCUUGUUUGAGUUGGUUGUUGCCCACAGGGUCUGUUUUUUAAGGCGUUUUUUUGGUGAUAACUUGGGUUUCCAGAUCUUUAACGGUCUUGAUUUCUUUUUUAAAUGAUGCUGGUAGUUAAAGACUUUCAUUUCUUCUCUUCUUUCACAAGGAGGUUGUGGGUAUUGAGGUGGGAGGGGCUGGGAGAGAUGAAUGACAUUGUGCUGAUUGUGCUCUAUUCUGUCUGACAUUCGCUUGAUUGCAAAUCACAGCCGACAGCCGAGUAGAUGGUAGUAUGACUGCAAUGAAGCUAAAUAAAGCGAACAUAUUUAAAGUGCUAUUAAAUGUCUGCAUGUACAUAGAACUGAUUAAAUUUGCCGUGUGAACAUUA